UACGGAGGAUCCGAGCGUUAUCCGGAUUUAUUGGGUUUAAAGGGUGCGUAGGCGGCUAAUUAAGUUAGCGGUGAAAUGCAGGGGCUUAACCCCUGAUCUGCCGCUGAUACUGGUUGGCUGGAGAUUGGAUGCAGCAGGCGGAAUGUGUGGUGUAGCGGUGAAAUGCAUAGAGAUCACACAGAACACCGAUUGCGAAGGCAGCUUGCUAAUCCACAUCUGACGCUGAUGCACGAAAGCGUGGGUAGCGAACAGG
rnacentral:rRNA from 1 species